rnacentral:rRNA from 1 species
AGCAGCCGCGGUAAUUCCAGCUCCAAUAGCGUAUAUUAAAGUUGUUGCAGUUAAAAAGCUCGUAGUUGAAUUUCGGGAUCAAUUAAUUGGUCGUGCCUCUGGUACGUACUGAUUUUAUUGGUUUCUCCCUUCUGAAGAACCAUGAUGUCAUUAAUUUGGUGUCGUGGAGAAUCAGGACUGUUACUUUGAAAAAAUUUAGAGUGUUUAAAGCAAGCUAACGCUUGAAUACAUUAGCAUGGAAUAAUGAAAUAGGACGUUUGAUCCUAUUUUGUUGGUUUCUAGGAUCGACGUAUGAUUAAUAGGGAUAGUUGGGGGCAUUAGUAUUCAAUUGUCAGAGGUGAAAUUCUUGGAUUUAUUGAAGACUAACUACUGCGAAAGCAUUUGCCAAGGAUGUUUUCAUUAAUCAAGAACGAAAGUUAGGGGAUCGAAGACGAUCAGAUACCGUCGUAGUCUUAACCAUAAACUAUGCCGACUAGGGAUCGGAUGAUGUUAAUUUUUUAAUGACUCAUUCGGCGCCUUA